rnacentral:rRNA from 1 species
AUUGAACGCUGGCGGCAUGCUUUACACAUGCAAGUCGAACGGUAACAGGCCUUCGGGUGCUGACGAGUGGCGAACGGGUGAGUAAUGCAUCGGAACGUGCCCAGAGGUGGGGGAUAACGCAGCGAAAACUGUGCUAAUACCGCAUGUGAUCUGAGGAUGAAAGCGGGGGACCAAGCAGCAAUGUUUGGCCUCGCGCCUCUGGAGCGGCCGAUGUCAGAUUAGGUAGUUGGUGGGGUAAAGGCCUACCAAGCCGACGAUCUGUAGCUGGUCUGAGAGGACGACCAGCCACACUGGGACUGAGACACGGCCCAGACUCCUACGGGAGGCAGCAGUGGGGAAUUUUGGACAAUGGGCGCAAGCCUGAUCCAGCAAUGCCGCGUGCGGGAAGAAGGCCUUCGGGUUGUAAACCGCUUUUGUACGGAACGAAAAGGCUCUGGCUAAUACCUGGGGCUGAUGACGGUACCAUAAGAAUAAGCACCGGCUAACUACGUG